GCAGCUCAGUGGUAGAGCACAUGUUUUGCAAACACAAGGUACCGGGUUCAAUCCCUGGUAUCUCCA